UACAGAGGGUGCAAGCGUUAAUCGGAAUUACUGGGCGUAAAGCGUGCGUAGACGGUAGCGUAAGUCGGGUGUGAAAGCCCCGGGCUCAACCUGGGAAUUGCAUUCGAGACUGCCCUGCUAGGGUGCGGAAGAGGGAAGCGGAAUUUCCGGUGUAGCGGUGAAAUGCGUAGAUAUCGGAAGGAACACCAGUGGCGAAAGCGGCUUCCUGGUCCAGCACCGACGUUCAGGCACGAAAGCGUGGGGAGCAAACAGG
rnacentral:rRNA from 1 species